AUUGAACGCUGGCGGCAUGCUUUACACAUGCAAGUCGAACGGUAACAGGCCUUCGGGUGCUGACGAGUGGCGAACGGGUGAGUAAUGCAUCGGAACGUACCCAGAGGUGGGGGAUAACGCAGCGAAAGCUGUGCUAAUACCGCAUGUGAUCUGAGGAUGAAAGCGGGGGACCGAGCAGCAAUGUUUGACCUCGCGCCUUUGGAGCGGCCGAUGUCGGAUUAGCUAGUUGGUGGGGUAAAGGCCUACCAAGGCGACGAUCCGUAGCUGGUCUGAGAGGACGACCAGCCACACUGGGACUGAGACACGGCCCAGACUCCUACGGGAGGCAGCAGUGGGGAAUUUUGGACAAUGGGCGCAAGCCUGAUCCAGCAAUGCCGCGUGCGGGAAGAAGGCCUUCGGGUUGUAAACCGCUUUUGGCAGGAACGAAACGGUGUCCGCUAAUACCGGGCGCUAAUGACGGUACCUGCAGAAUAAGCACCGGCUAACUACGUG
rnacentral:rRNA from 1 species